rnacentral:rRNA from 1 species
AACGAACGCUGGCGGCAUGCCUAACACAUGCAAGUCGAACGAACCCUUCGGGGUUAGUGGCGCACGGGUGCGUAACACGUGGGAAUCUGCCCUUUGCUUCGGAAUAACAGUUAGAAAUGACUGCUAAUACCGGAUAAUGUCGCAAGACCAAAGAAUUAUCGGCAAAGGAUGAGCCCGCGUAGGAUUAGCUUGUUGGUGGGGUAAUGGCCCACCAAGGCGACGAUCCUUAGCUGGUCUGAGAGGAUGAUCAGCCACACUGGGACUGAGACACGGCCCAGACUCCUACGGGAGGCAGCAGUGGGGAAUAUUGGACAAUGGGCGAAAGCCUGAUCCAGCAAUGCCGCGUGAGUGAUGAAGGCCUUAGGGUUGUAAAGCUCUUUUACCAGGGAUGAUAAUGACAGUACCUGGAGAAUAAGCUCCGGCUAACUCCGUGCCAGCCGCCGCUGUAAAAC